UACGGAGGGUGCGAGCGUUGUCCGGAAUCACUGGGCGUAAAGGGCGCGUAGGUGGCGCGGGAAGUCAACGGUGAAAGUUCGGGGCUCAACCCUGAAUCGGCCGUCGAUACUCCCGGGCUCGAGCACUGUAGAGGCAGAUGGAAUUCCGGGUGUAGCGGUGGAAUGCGUAGAGAUCCGGAAGAACACCGGUGGCGAAGGCGGUCUGCUGGGC
rnacentral:rRNA from 1 species